AGCCUCCUGAACCUGUGCUGAGAUUUCGUCAGACGCCAGACUGUCAGUAGUGGUGAGACUUCCAAGAUAAAUGAAACG
rnacentral:pre_miRNA from 1 species